UUUGUCACAACCAUUUCGCAUUUAAUUUUACUGUUUCACCAUACGAUGACAGGGAAGUUGACGCUUACAUUUUUCCAUCGAUCAUUCUAACAGAAACACGUGUUGCGUGCGCAAAUACUUUAAUUUGGGUUUUAUAGUGAAGCUGGGCAAAAGGAGCUUACAUAGUUUGCAUUUGCAUUAGUGUGCCUGCCGCAUCGCCCGCUGCUUACGGAGGCUGUUUAAAAGGGACUUCCACAGUGAUUUUUUUUAUAUAAAAGACGACAUUUGCGAAAAGUCUACUCUGCAGUUUACACUAUGAGUGAGGAGUUGAUACCAUCAACUGAGCUGUCGUUAUUUGCCGAGCAAUGUCCGUUGGGAGAUGAGUCCCCUACAACGAAAAAUGUCGACAAUGAGUCCGUAGUAAUUUUGGAUAGUGAUGAACAGUU